rnacentral:lncRNA from 1 species
AUCUUACGAUAUUAUUUAAAUACUAUUUUCCUUACUAAGCAUAUGGAACUCACUCUUUCCAUACCCUCCCUUCAGAUGAGGAAGAUAGUGAGGGACCGUCAACUGAUUUACCCAUUGAAGUCUAUGAAGAUCUCGUGGAUCUGCAAAACUUAAGUGCAUGAUUGUUUCUGCACUCUAAUGAGUCCAAUAACAUAAUGAUUGAAAUGAUCCUUUUUGUAUCUUGACAUUUGUAUUUUGUAGUCAUUUCUGAUCUCAGUUAUAUGUGUAUUUGAAACUCAUAUAUUGUAAGGGAUUUGUAUUAAUUUACUCCACUGUAUAUAAAUUUUUAUCAUGUACUAGUAAUUUAUUUUUGUAUCUGACACCCACAUGUCUUAAUUAGCAUUUGAGAUGUCACAGAUGAUAUCAGAGCAGUUACGCGG